GAUGAACGCUGGCGGCGUGCCUAAUACAUGCAAGUCGAGCGAACAGAUGAGGAGCUUGCUCCUCUGACGUUAGCGGCGGACGGGUGAGUAACACGUGGAUAACCUACCUAUAAGACUGGGAUAACUUCGGGAAACCGGAGCCAAUACCGGAUAAUAUAUUGAACCGCAUGGUUCAAUAGUGAAAGACGGUUUUGCUGUCACUUAUAGAUGGAUCCGCGCCGCAUUAGCUAGUUGGUAAGGUAACGGCUUACCAAGGCGACGAUGCGUAGCCGACCUGAGAGGGUGAUCGGCCACACUGGAACUGAGACACGGUCCAGACUCCUACGGGAGGCAGCAGUAGGGAAUCUUGCGCAAUGGGCGAAAGCCUGACGGAGCAACGCCGCGUGAGUGAUGAAGGUCUUCGGAUCGUAAAACUCUGUUAUUAGGGAAGAACAAAUGUGUAAGUAACUAUGCACGUCUUGACGGUACCUAAUCAGAAAGCCACGGCUAACUACGUG
rnacentral:rRNA from 1 species